rnacentral:rRNA from 1 species
AUGAGCGUGGUUGGGUUUGAUUUGGGCAACGAGAGCUGCAUUGUGGGGGUGGCACGGCAGCGUGGCAUCGACGUGGUUCUCAAUGAGGAAUCCAAACGGGAGACUCCUGCCAUCGUCUGCUUUGGUGACAAGCAGCGCUUCAUCGGCACUGCAGGCGCUGCCAACUCCACCAUGAACCCAAAGAACUCCAUCUCACAGAUCAAGCGCCUGCUGGGCCGCAAGUUCGCUGAUCCUGAGCUGCAGCGCGAUCUGCAGUCGUUCCCUUUCCGUGUCUCGGAGGGCCCUGACGGGUUCCCACUCGUCCACGCCCGCUAUCUGGGGGAGGAGCAUGCUUUCACCCCCACACAGCUGCUUGCCAUGGUGCUGUCUAAUCUGAAGGCCAUUGCUGAGGAUAACCUGAAGUCCGCUGUUGUUGAUUGCUGCAUUGGUAUCCCGGUGUAUUUCACUGACCUGCAGCGUAGGUCUGUUCUUGAUGCUGCCACUAUCGCUGGUCUCCGGCCGUUGCGUCUGUUCCAUGAGACCACUGCUACUGCAUUGGCAUAUGGCAUCUAUAAGACUGAUCUCCCUGAGAAUGAUCAGCUGAACGUCGCAUUUGUUGAUGUCGGGCAUGCCAGUAUGCAGGUAAGCAUUGUCGGGUACAAGAAGGGGCAGCUGAAGAUGCUGUCCCACGCGUAUGACCGGUCUCUUGGUGGAAGAGACUUUGAUGAAGCUCUGUUUAAGCACUUUGCGUCAAAAUUUAAAGAGGAGUAUAAGAUUGAUGUCUACCAGAAUGCCCGCGCCUGCAUUAGGUUGCGUGUGGCCUGUGAGAAGCUCAAGAAGAUGCUGAGCGCCAAUCCGGAGGCACCGAUGAAUAUUGAGUGCUUGAUGGAUGAGAAGGAUGUGCGAGGCUUCAUCAAGAGGGAUGAAUUUGAACAGAUCAGUGCCCCAGUACUAGAACGUGUGAAAGGGCCAUUGGAGAAGGCCUUGGCCGAAGCUGGCUUGACAACAGAAAGUGUGCACUUUGUUGAGGUUGUUGGAUCAGGUUCUCGUGUCCCUGCUAUAAUCAGGAUUAUCACUGAAUUCUUUGGAAAGGAACCUCGGAGAACUAUGAAUGCAAGUGAAUGUGUUGCCCGGGGAUGCGCUCUUCAGUGUGCUAUACUUAGUCCCACGUUCAAAGUGCGGGAGUUCCAGGUUAAUGAAGGUUUUCCUUUUUCAAUCGCUUUAUCAUGGAAACCAGAUUCCCAGAACAAUGAGCCCCAACAAACAGUGGUAUUUCCAAAGGGGAACCCGAUCCCGAGUGUCAAAGCUCUGACCUUCUAUAGGUCCAAUACAUUUGCAGUGGAUGUUCUGAAUGUCGAAACGGAAGAUCUGCAAGUAACACAAAAAAUUAGCACUUACAUGAUUGGCCCUUUCCAAUCCAGCAAAGGUGAGAAGGCAAAACUGAAAGUGAAAGUUCGUCUCAACAUUCAUGGAAUAGUCUCUCUUGAAUCAGCGACGAUGCUGGAGGAGGAGGAAGUGGAAGUUCCAGUUUCAACUACAAGUGAGGUGCCAAAGGAUGCUAACAAAAUGGAGACAGAUGCCGCUGAUGUCAAUAUGCAGGAACCUAAAGGUACUACAGACACUGCUGAGGGUGCUACUGGAGAUGGGGCACAAGAUUCUGAGGAAAAAUCUGCUCCUAUGGAUACUGAUGCCAAGACCGAGCCAUCAAAAAGGAAAGUCAAGAAAACUAAUGUCCCAGUUGCGGAAUUGGUGUAUGGUGCAAUGGGGUCUGCUGAGUUGGAGAAAGCUGUUGAGAAAGAGUAUGAAAUGGCUCUUCAAGACAGAGUUAUGGAAGAAACCAAAGAGAAGAAGAAUUCCGUGGAGGCUUAUGUUUAUGACAUGCGUAACAAGCUUUAUGAGAAGUACUCUGAUUAUGUUACAUCGGAGGACAAAGAAACUUUGACGGCUAAGCUUCAGGAGGUUGAGGAUUGGCUGUACGAAGAUGGCGAGGAUGAGACCAAGGGAGUCUAUGUUGCAAAACUGGAAGAACUUAAAAAGGUUGGUGGCCCUAUCGAGGCGCGCUACAGAGAGUGGGAAGAAAGAGGUCCUGCUAUUGAGCAACUAGCGUACUGCAUCCGCAGUUUCAGGGAGGCUGCAUUGUCUAGUGACCCAAAGUUUGAGCAUAUCGACAUAUCGGAGAAACAAAAGGUUGUUAAUGAGUGCUCGGGAGCGGAGACUUGGCUGCAUGAGAAGAAACAGCAGCAGGAUGCUUUACCAAAGCAUGCUGACCCUGCUCUCCUUGUUUCUGACAUUAAGAAGAAGGCGGAAGCACUUGACAGAUUUUGCAAAUCGAUCAUGACAAAGCCAAAGCCAGCACCGAAGCCACAGACCCCACCCCCGGCUGAAACUUCACCACCAGAGGCUCAAACACCAGAGCAGCAGCCAGAUGGUGCCACUGAAGCUAGUGAGCCGGCCAGUGAGGGAGGUGCGUGGGAGCAGCCUGCAGCCGAGCAGAUGGACACCGAUGAACCCGAUCCUUCCUCGGCAUAG